GACGAACGCUGGCGGCGUGCUUAACACAUGCAAGUCGAACGGUGAACCCCUUCGGAGGGGAUCAGUGGCGAACGGGUGAGUAACACGUGGGCAACCUGCCCCCGGCUCUGGGAUAACUCCAAGAAAUUGGGGCUAAUACCGGAUGUUCACCGCUUCCCGCAUGGGUGGUGGUGGAAAGGGUUUCCGGCUGGGGAUGGGCCCGCGGCCUAUCAGCUUGUUGGUGGGGUAGUGGCCUACCAAGGCGACGACGGGUAGCCGGCCUGAGAGGGUGACCGGCCACACUGGGACUGAGACACGGCCCAGACUCCUACGGGAGGCAGCAGUGGGGAAUAUUGCGCAAUGGGCGGAAGCCUGACGCAGCGACGCCGCGUGGGGGAUGACGGCCUUCGGGUUGUAAACCUCUUUCAGCAGGGACGAAGCGCAAGUGACGGUACCUGCAGAAGAAGCACCGGCCAACUACGUG
rnacentral:rRNA from 1 species